GGUUUCUGUGAUGGGUUGGGGCCAUGAGAUCUGUGGGACCUUGGGAUGUGUUUGGGCCAUGGGAUGUCCUGUUUUUUUUGGAUGUGUCGAUCCUGAUUGAUCGACGUGCAAAACUCUUCCCUGAUCCAUAACUUUCCAUUGGUUUAACUCCUUCUUGGAACCAAACAGGUGAUUGUCCACUUAGCAGUGCAAAAAGAUUUGGGGAUUAGGGAUGGGAGCGGCCAUGGGAUGAGGAUCUGUUCCCUCUGAACCUGAAUUUCCUUUGCUUAUAUUUUGCAGAGACAAAAGAUGCAGAGUUGGGUAAGUCUCCAUCCCCAAACUGAGGGAAGUCAGGGUCUCCCAAUGGCACAGGCCAAGGGAUGAGCAGCUGUCCCCUCUGACCAUGAAUUUCCUUUGUUUCUAUUUUGCAGAGAGAAAAGAUGAAGAGUUGGGUAAGUCUCCUUCCCCAGCUGAGGGAAUUCAGGGUCUCCCCAUGGCAGUAGCUGUGGGAUGAGCAGCUGUCCCCUCUGACCAUGAAUUUCCUUUGCUUCUAUAUUGCAGAGAGAAAAGAUGCAGAGUUGGGUAAGUCUCCUUCCCCAAACUGAGGGAAUUCAGGGUCUCCCCAUGGCAGUAGCAGUGGGAUGAGCAGCUGUCCCCUCAGACCAUGAAUUUCCUUUGCUUCUAUAUUGCAGAGAAAAAAGAUGCAGAGUUGGGUAAGUCUCCUUCCCAUAACUGAGGGAAGUCAGGGUCUCCCCAUGGCUAUAGCAGUGGGAUGAGCAGCUGUCACCUCUGAAAAUGAAUUUCCUUUGCUUCUAUUUUGCAGAUAGAAAAGAUGCAGAGUUGGGGAGAAAAGAUGCAGAGUUGAGUAAGUCUCCUUCCCCAAACAGGGGCAUUUCAGGGUCUCCCCAUCGCAUAAGCUGUGGGAUGAGCAGCUGUCACCUCUGACAAUGAAUAUCCUUUGCUUCUACUUUGCAGAGACAAAAGAUGAAGAGUUGGGUAAGUCUCCUUCCCCAAACUGAGGCAAGUCAGGGUCUCCCCAUGGUAGUAGCUGUGGGAUGAGCAGCUGUCGCCUCUGACGGUGAAUUUCCUGUGUUUCUAUUUUGCAGUGAGAAAAGAUGCAGAGUUGGGUAUGUCUCCUUCCCCAAACUGAGGGAACUCAGGGUCUCCCCAUGGCAGUAGCUGUGGGAUCAGCAGCUGUCCCCUCUCACCAUGAAUUUUCUUUGCUUCUAUUUUGCAGAUAGAAAAGAUGAAGAGUUGAGUAAGUCUCCUUCCCCAAACUGAGGGAAGUUGGGGUCUCCCCACAUCUGUAGCUGUGGGGAUGAGCAGCUGUCCCCUCUGACCAUGAAUUUCCAUUUCUGCUAUUUCGCAGAGAGAAAAGAUGCAGAGUUGGGUAAGUCUUCUUCCCGAAACUGAGGGAACUCACGGUCUCCCCAUAGCAUUAGCCAUGGGACGAGCAGCUGUCCCCUCUGACGUUGAAUUUUCUUUGUUUCUAUUAUGCAGUUAUUAAAGGUGCAGAGUUGGGUAAGUCUCCUUCCCCAAACUGAGGGAAUUCAG
rnacentral:lncRNA from 1 species